rnacentral:rRNA from 1 species
ACUGAACGCUGGCGGCAGGCUUAACACAUGCAAGUCGAGCGGGGGAAGGUAGCUUGCUACCGGACCUAGCGGCGGACGGGUGAGUAAUGCUUAGGAAUCUGCCUAUUAGUGGGGGACAACAUCCCGAAAGGGAUGCUAAUACCGCAUACGUCCUAUGGGAGAAAGCAGGGGAUCUUCGGACCUUGCGCUAAUAGAUGAGCCUAAGUCGGAUUAGCUAGUUGGUGGGGUAAAGGCCUACCAAGGCGACGAUCUGUAGCGGGUCUGAGAGGAUGAUCCGCCACACUGGGACUGAGACACGGCCCAGACUCCUACGGGGGGCAGCAGUGGGGAAUAUUGGACAAUGGGGGGAACCCUGAUCCAGCCAUGCCGCGUGUGUGAAGAAGGCCUUAUGGUUGUAAAGCACUUUAAGCGAGGAGGAGGCUACUUUAGUUAAUACCUAGGAUGAGUGGACGUUACUCGCAGAAUAAGCACCGGCUAACUCUGUGCCAGCCGCCGCCGUAA